GGAGGAGCAGUGGGGAAUAUUGGGCCUUGGGCGAAAGCCUGACCCAGCAACGCCGCGUGAAGGAAGAAGGCCUUCGGGUUGUAAACUUCUUUUAAGAGGGACGAAGAAGUGACGGUACCUCUUGAAUAAGCCACGGCUAACUACAUGCCAGCAGCCGCGGCAAUACGUAGGUGGCGAGCGUUAUCCGGAUUUACUGGGUGUAAAGGGCGCGUAGGCUGGAAUGCAAGUCAGAUGUGAAAUCCAAGGGCUCAACCCUUGAACUGCAUUUGAAACUGCAUUUCUUGAGUGUCGGAGAGGUUGACGGAAUUCCUAGCGUAGCGGUGAAAUGCGUAGAUGUUACGAGGAACGCCAGUGGCGAAGGCGGGCAUCUGGACAAUAACUGACGCUGAGAGCGCGAAAGCGAGAGGAGCAAACAGGAUUAGAUACCCUGGUAGGCCACGCCGUAGACCAUGAAUACUAGGUGUGGGGGGACUGACCCCUUCCGUGCCGCCGUUGACACUAUAAGUAUAUCCACCUGGGGAGUAUGACCGCGCGGUUGCAACUCAAAGCAAUUGAGGGGGGACCGCACAAGCAGAGGCUCAUGUGGGUAAAUUCGAAGCAUCACCUGGAACCUGACCAGGGCUUGAUCUCCCACUAACGAAGCAUAGAUGCUUUCCGUGCGCAUCGCAGAAUGUUGAGACAGGUGGUGCAUCGCUGGCGUCCGCUCGUGACGUGAGAUGUUGGCUUAAGUCACGCACUUGGCGCAACGCCUUUUGUUAGAUGCUUACCAAAAGCACUCCAACGAGACUGCUUUCUACAAACCGGAGGAGGGUGGGGAAAAACCUCUAACCAUCGGGCCCCUGGAGUCAAGGGCUUACAACUUAAAACUUAGGGGGUUUACCCGCGGAAACCAACCUUUGGACGGGGAAGAACACCGCUAAAAGGGGCCCCCCUUUGGAUACGGGGCUGCCACCUCCUAGUUGGCCCUUGAAUUACCAAAAAUAACCGGACCUUUU
rnacentral:rRNA from 1 species